AGGGCCUUGCGCUUGCUAGGCAAGCGCUCUACCACUGAGCUAAAUCCCCAACCCCUCUUCGGCAAAUUCUUAAGGAAUAACUGUAGUUUGCGAGCUCAGGCGGGACCAUGCUGACUCGGCUGAAAGCAAAAUCAGAAGGGAAGCUUGCAAAACAGCUAUGCAGAGUUGUGCUGGAUCAGUUUGACAAACAGUAUUCGAAAGAACUUGGGGAUUGCUGGAGUACAGUAAGGUAAAGGAAUUCCUCUCUUGCUUGAGCUGUAGAAAUGAGGGACAAAUUAAAAACAGAAGACAUAGUGAAAGUAAGAUUGAAUAUCUUCUCAAUUUUAUCUGUAAAAUGGGAAUGUACUACAUUUUAAACAACGCUUUAAUAAAAAUCCUAACAUUGUGAAAUAAAGAAGAUAACAAGUCCUUAAAGUCAAUGUUCUCUCUCUUGGCUAAAAGUCAGGCUUUAUUGGGCAAUUAUGAUCACCAUUACAUCUGUAUCUGGAACACAUGCAUAUGGACAGACCAAUCUAAAAGCAGCUAAGUGUCCAUGAUGGCUGUGGUUGAAAUGGCGGGGAGGGAAGGCAGUUGACGUUAGGUUGGUAGAUUGCAGGUUGUCUUUUGACCUCCAUGCUUAGCCAUACUCUAUCCCUGAAAUAAAUUCCAAUAAUUUCUAAAGUGACAAAUAUGAUUUGUGUUUUGGUGAGUUUUUGUUUUCGAUCGGAAUGGUAGUGAAGAGGGUUUUGUAUGGAAUGCAUGAUUGGUAUAUAUGAUACCCUCUAGAAUACAUAAGUCUGUUCAUGGGAGAGGUACAAGGGAGGGGCACCUUAAACAUUCCAGAAACAUGCAAUA